rnacentral:rRNA from 1 species
CGUAGGGACCAAGCGUUGUUCGGAUUUACUGGGCGUAAAGGGCGCGUAGGCGGCAAUUCAAGUCAUCUGUGAAAUCUCCGGGCUUAACUCGGAACGGUCAGAUGAUACUGCUUUGCUAGAGUGCGGAAGGGGCAAUCGGAAUUCUCGGUGUAGCGGUGAAAUGCGUAGAUAUCGAGAGGAACACCUGAGGUGAAGACGGGUUGCUGGGCCGACACUGACGCUGACAGCGCGAAAGCCAGGGGAGCAAACGGGAUUAGAUACCCCGGUAGUCCUGGCCCUAAACGAUGAAUACUUGGUGUCUGGAGUUAUUAGUGCUCCGGGUGCCGUCGCUAACGUUUUAAGUAUUCCGCCUGGGGAUACGCUCGCAAGAGUG